CAGUCGCCGCGGGAAUACGUAGGGUGCAAGCGUUAAUCGGAAUUACUGGGCGUAAAGGGCGCGUAGGCGGCGCUCCAAGUUAGGCGUGAAAUUCCCGGGCUCAACCUGGGGACUGCGCUUAAGACUGGAGUGCUUGAGGAUGGAAGAGGGUUGUGGAAUUCCCAGUGUAGAGGUGAAAUUCGUAGAUAUUGGGAAGAACACCGGUGGCGAAGGCGGCAACCUGGUCCAUUACUGACGCUGAGGCGCGAUAGCGUGGGGAGCAAACAGGAUUAGAUACCCCCGUAGUCCCUGUCUCUUAUAC
rnacentral:rRNA from 1 species